AAACAUUUUAAUCCUGCCAUUAAAAAAAUUGAAUCCGGAUUCAUCAGGUGCCUCCCCUUUGAAAUGCUGCAGCGGCGUUUCCACGGGGCAGCGCUGCACGGAGCCUGGGAGGAGCGGGAGUCCCUGGCUGACCCCACGGGGGCUCCAUGCAGCGCUGCCCCUUGGAAGCGCCGUGGUGGCAGUGUGGAAUUUAUGAAAAUUCAGCCCCUGUUGCUUUGGCUGUUGCUGCUUCCUGAGGCUCACACUGGGCUGAGGUGGGAGGUGGCUGAGAGGGGAGCUGGAUGGAGGGGGCACACAGGGAUGCUGUGAGAGAGGACACAGAGGGAUUUGAGCACAGGAUGAGCAGGGGGCCCUGGCAUGGGCAAUGGGUGAGCAAGGCUUUGGGGUUUUUCGGCUUUUAAUUUUGAUUUUUUUAAUCAGUGCUGGUACAUCACCUCCUGCCCCUCACCCUCUUCGGACCUGCCCCAUCAUUGCUGAACUCGGGAAAAUUAAAGUAACCUUGUGACCCAGCCCAGAAGAAGCCAUGGCCACAGAGAGUCCCGUGAAAAGUCUCCAGACUGAAGUGACAUGUCCCAUAUGCCUGGAGUAUUUCACAGCUCCUGUCACUCUGGAGUGUGGGCACAGUUUCUGCCAGGCCUGCAUCAGCCGGCACUGGGAGGAUCCAGACACAGCCACCUCCUGCCCUCAGUGCAGAAAAACCGUGCAACAGAGAUGCCUCUGGCCCAACAGGCAGCUGGCAAACAUCGUAGAGAUAGCCAAGCGGCUGAGUUUGCAGGCAGUGCAGGGAGCAGAAGGGGAUGGGGCGUGUGGGGAGCACCAGGAGGCGCUGAAACUAUUUUGUGAGGAAGAUCAAACCCCCAUCUGUGUGGUGUGCAACAAAUCCCAGGUUCACCAUGCUAACACGGUGGUGCUCAUACAGGAGUGGUGCCCAGCUGCCCAGGAGUACAAGAAAAAGUUUGAGGCCCAUUUGAAGACUCUCAGAGAAGAAAGAGAAAAGCUGCUGGGAUGGAAAGCGACGGGAGAGGGGAGAAGCCAGGAGUAUCUGAAACUGACACAAGCCGAGUGGCAGAAGGUCGUGGCCGAAUUUCAGCAGCUGCGGCAUUUCCUGGAGGAACAACAGCGACUCCUGCUGGCUGAGCUAGAGAAACUGGAGGAGGAUAUUGUGAAGCUCCAGGCUGACACAGUCAGGAAACUCUCCGCACAGAUUUCCGGUCUCAGCGAGCUGAUCGGUGAGCUGGAGGGGAAGUGUCAGCAGCCAGCGUGUGAAUUCCUGCAGGAUGCCAGAAGCACCUUGAGCAGGUGUGAGACGGGGCAGUUCCAGCAGCCGGUGGAGAUUCCUCCUGACCUGGACGAGCGCGUCAGUGGUUUCUCCCAUAAAAUUACUGCGCUGUUGGAGAGUCUGAGGGAAUUCAAAGACACUCUGCCCUCUGCACUGGAAGGAGCAAGAGGAAAUUCCCUCGGAACGUUCAGACGGGGUGAGGUUUCCAGUGGAGAUUGUCUUUAAAUGAGGAGAAGAUUCCAGUUAAAACUUUUUUCCUGAGAUUGUAGCUGAAGUUACCAACCCAACUGACAGCGCCCACGGUGCCCACGGCCCUAAAUCUAACCCACUGGCCAGUGAGGAGACCCAAGGGCUCGGGAUAGAGGCCCGGGAGACAUGACCUGCCCACUUGAAGAAAUGGGAUGGCCAGGCCUUUCUAUGUCUUCACAUGGGGAUAGUUUGGGAGUAGAUGCCGUGUUGACCCUACAGCUAUGAUCCUUGCUGGGGGGAGGGCGGGGGGAUGGCUGCACUUUGUGGUGGGGCAGCUGAUCAGUGCAGCUCCUGCCGAGGGCACCAGACUCUUCCCGGUGCUGGCCCCUCCCAGGGACCCCACCCCUGCUCCUUUUUCCCCCCAAGGCCCUGGCCAAGCCAGAAGUCCCCGCCAUUGAGCUCAGGUUACCCUGAAGAGCCCUGGCCACGCCACCUGAGUGGUGCACUCCAAGGAGUGGGGACAUGGGCUGGCGGCUGCUCUGAGGCCAUCUGGAGCUUGGCCUAAGCCAGGUGGAGGGCCAGAGGGACCCCAUAACGGCCAAGGCUCGCAGAUGGGUCACAGGCAGGACCUCACUUACGAGAGGAGGAGGGGGUGAGGCCACACAGUCUCCGGCCUCGGCCACAUUCUACCGCAGAAUUCUACCGAGGUUCUGGAACUCUGUGGGCAGGGGGGCGGAUCCCAAGCUGACGUCACGAAUUCUCCUGACACUAGAGGUGGGUGGACUGUGGGGAUCCUGGGUCAGACAGUGUCACUUGGAUAUGGAGGAAACAACCUGUUUGGGAAGUUGCUGACUUGCAUUUGUUUCUACCCUGUUCAGGGCACAGAAAUGUGCCAGUGUUGUUUGUAAGUAAUAAAGUUUGCA